rnacentral:rRNA from 1 species
AUUGAACGCUGGCGGCAGGCUUAACACAUGCAAGUCGAGCGAGCGGCGGACGGGUGAGUAAUGUCUGGGAAACUGCCUGAUGGCGGGGGAUAACUACUGGAAACGGUAGCUAAUACCGCAUACCAUCAGAUGUGCCCAGAUGGGAUUAGCUAGUAGGUGGGGUAAUGGCUCACCUAGGCGAAGAUACCUAGCUGGUCUGAGAGGAUGACCAGCCACACUGGCACUGAGACACGGUCCAGACUCAUACGGGAGGCAGCAGUGGGGAAGAUGGCAAAAUGGGCGCAAGCCUGAUGCAGCCAUGCCGCGUGUGUGAAGAAGGCCUGCGGGUUGUAAAGCACUUUCAGCGAGGAGGCGUUACUCGCAGAAGAAGCACCGGCUAACUCCGUGCCAGCCGACGCGGUAAUAC